rnacentral:rRNA from 1 species
AACGAACGCUGGCGGCAUGCCUAACACAUGCAAGUCGAACGAGACCUUCGGGUCUAGUGGCGCACGGGUGCGUAACGCGUGGGAACCUGCCCUUAGGUUCGGAAUAACUCCCCGAAAGGGGUGCUAAUACCGGAUAAUGUCUUCGGACCAAAGAUUUAUCGCCGUUGGAUGGGCCCGCGUUGGAUUAGCUAGUUGGUAGGGUAAAAGCCUACCAAGGCGACGAUCCAUAGCUGGACUGAGAGGAUGAUCAGCCACACUGGGACUGAGACACGGCCCAGACUCCUACGGGAGGCAGCAGUGGGGAAUAUUGGACAAUGGGCGAAAGCCUGAUCCAGCAAUGCCGCGUGAGUGAUGAAGGCCUUAGGGUUGUAAAGCUCUUUUACCCGGGAUGAUAAUGACAGUACCGGGAGAAUAAGCUCCGGCUAACUCCGUG